AAAAUAUCAUCUUGUACUAGAUUCUUUCUCAUUAGCUUUGUAGUUCGAUCAUACCUGCGAUCGGAGAUUGCUCGGGAAUUGGAAAUUAAGAAAAAUUUUCUCUGGUUCAUCGUUCUGUUUAAUCUAUUCCGCUCUUUCUUAUUUACCGUUGUUUGUUAUUUGUAACUGUCUGGAAUCAAAUAAAUUGCCAGUGGCCUGAAAAAUACAAAUUUAAUUAUUUAUUUUCAAAACUAGUUUUUGGGUCAAGCAUCCCUGCCACUCUACGUCACUGCACUCUAAACGGAGGUACUCAUAGGAUAAUUUUGAGCAGUCCUUAAACUUAAGGGAGGUUUGUUCAUUUGAGUGGAACUUCAGGGGUCCUUACAGAUAUUAAUUUUAAUUCACCAACAAGGUGCAACUCCACUUGUAAUUAAUUCUAAGUGGCGCCGAGCCAAAUUUAUAGAUGAAGCCGAAUAGCUGAGCCGCAACAAUUUAUAUAUUUGAGCUUACAUCAAAACCCUAUUUCUCUCUCACUCUCUACAACUCAAGGAGCCAUCAGAACGAAGCAUUGAAUUUUGUAGGAAACUAUGGCUUCAAAACUACCUAUAGUGAAAGCAAAGGCUGUUGAAGCUUCAAAGUUCUUGACCAAGCAUGGAUGUGCAUACUACAAGCAGACAUUGCAA